UACGAACGCUGGCGGCGUGCUUAACACAUGCAAGUCGAACGGAAAGGCCCUGCUUUUGUGGGGUGCUCGAGUGGCGAACGGGUGAGUAACACGUGAGUAACCUGCCCUUGACUUUGGGAUAACUUCAGGAAACUGGGGCUAAUACCGGAUAGGAGCUCCUGCUGCAUGGUGGGGGUUGGAAAGUUUCGGCGGUUGGGGAUGGACUCGCGGCUUAUCAGCUUGUUGGUGGGGUAGUGGCUUACCAAGGCUUUGACGGGUAGCCGGCCUGAGAGGGUGACCGGCCACAUUGGGACUGAGAUACGGCCCAGACUCCUACGGGAGGCAGCAGUGGGGAAUAUUGCACAAUGGGCUGAAGCCUGAUGCAGCAACGCCGCGUGCGGGAUGACGGCCUUCGGGUUGUAAACCGCUUUCGCCUGUGACGAAGCGUGAGUGACGGUAAUGGGUAAAGAAGCACCGGCUAACUACGUG
rnacentral:rRNA from 1 species